GAUGAAGAACGUAGCGAAAUGCGAUAAGUAAUGCGAAUUGCAGAAUCCGUGAGUCAUCGAAUCUUUGAACGCACAUUGCGCCCUUUGGUAUUCCGAAGGGCAUGCCUGUUCGAGCGUCAUUAUCACCCCUCAAGCCCCGGCUUGGUGUUGGGCUCUCGGUGGUCGUCUCCGACCACCCGUCUCAAAGAUAGUGACGGCGUCCCAGAGGGAACCGGUACGAGGAGCUUUCACGAGCAUGUACGCGGGACGACUCUGCGGGCGACGGUCUUAUUUACUUUAUAUACAAGUGUUGACCUCGGAUCAGGUAGGAAUACCCGCUGAACUUAAGCAUACAAUAAGCGGAGGA
rnacentral:misc_RNA from 1 species